CUUCCUAAACUAAGCCCGAUUCCACCACGACCUGUGUGACUGAGAACCUACACAGACAUGUCUCCUGAGGUCAUUUCCUCAACUGUUUCUGUUCAGACAUUUCUGGAGAGAAAACUGUGAAACAAAAUGAAUGAAGAUGACAAGUUGUAGAUCAGACUGACAGACUCAGCAGUAGAGGGCAGAUAUUUGUGGGUGGAUGGUUCAGGACUGUGUAAAAGGCUUGAUUGUUGAGAAAACUUUAGGUUGUGCCACAUUUGUGAAACAACUAUUUUAAUAACAUGCUAAAAUAUCACCUCAUCUCAUGGGCAGUUCCUGAUUUUGUUCUGCUUUAAUACUUUUUAUUUAUAUCUUCCUUUUAACCACUUGGCAAUCUGAUGAAACUCAAAAAAAAUUGUUGUUGCAUUUGUAUGCAAGAGAUCAGCACAAUGUACCACAGGGACAGACAUUUCAUCAAUAACAAUAAAAACCCUUCCUUCAGUUAUAAUAAAAGCAGUUAUUCUGACAGGAGGAACCAGACUGAGGAUGAAAGCUCCUCCCUCCUCUUUAGGAACAGGUAAACAGGAAGUUGUUAUUAUUUUUUGUUAAGCUGUAAAACAGAAGUUACAAUGAGUAAGGAAGCAAUUAGACUGAGCAUCAUUGUCAAUUACAUCUGUUUUCUGUUAAAUGUAUAAAGAACUGAAUCUAUGAUAAAUAACAAAGGAAACAGAAUUUCAACAUUUUGUUGUGUUUUGUGAUUCAGAGACUGUUGGAUUAAGUCUGAAGUCAGGAUCUUGAAGUUUCAGCAUGAUGAGCCGUCCGCAGAGCUUCAUAGAAGAUGAAGCUCCUGACUCUCGGCAUGCAAAAUCAAAGAGAGGGUCAAAGGUCACCACAGAGAGAGUGGCCCUGCUGGUUCUCUGUAUCCUGCUGGCAGCUGCUCUCAUCAUUAUUUAUCGUCUCUCAGUUGAAAACAUGAGAACUAAAGAAACACUGAAAACACAGAACUACAAAAAUCCCUCCAGUGUAAACAAACCUCACUGACUGACUGGUUUGUUUGUUCCUUUUUAAUCAACGUUUGACAGAAUUAAAACUAACAAACAGCACGAAAACCUGAAACAUGACGAACUGAAGUGUGAAAGAAAUCUCACAGAGACUCUCUCUAAGAUAAAAUCAUGCAGCACGGUGCAGCCGACCUUUCCAGGACCUAAAGUAAUAAAUGAUCCUUGUUAUUAAUGUGAAGAAGGCUGGGAGCUACAUGGAGGAAAGUGCUAUUACUUCUCCAACAGUAAAUCAUCCUGGAAACAGAGCAGAGAUGAGUGUAAAGCUAAAGGAGGAGACCUGGUUAAGAUAGAGAGCAGAGAGGAGCAGACUCAGCAGUAGAGGACAGACGGCUUUGGGUGGAUGGAUCAUCACUGGAUCAAAAGUUUGAUUGUUGAGAAAAUAUAUUUUUUUCAUUUCUUGAUUUAAAGUUACCAGUUUUUACUGAAACAAUUCUUUCUGUUUUUCAUUCCUUAGUUUGAAGUUUUGGAAUCGCAACGAGCCAGACAAUUGGAAAGGGACAAAUGAGGGCAGCCCAGUGGCACUGUGUUAGCCCUGCCACAGACCAACCUGUCCAGAGUGUGUCCUGCCUCUCCAGUCCCGCACGAACCUGAACCAAAUAAGAGGGAGAGGAUGGAUGGUCCUUUGCCUCAUCAGCUGACAUUUCUCUUUCUGUUUAUACACACUAUUGUUUCUACAUAUACUUCACUACUAAAGAUGUUUUGUCAGCAUGUUAAUGCAUUUCUCAUCCGAGUCUUACAUCUCAUCAUAAACAGUUUGCAUGUUUGUCAGUCUCCCUCUCGCCUACUUUGCAGUUUUUUUUAAACAUUUCCAGUAAGUGAGGUUCAGUUUCUCAAAGCUCAAAACACACAAACUGAAAAGUGUUAACUGCUCUGCAAAAACUCCACAAUUUUUACAAAAUUAAACUCUUGUCUAGAAACCGAUUCCUUCUACCAAAACAAUACACACCUUAUUAUAUGGUCACAAGAGCAUCAAACAAACACUGAUGUAUGUAACACAGCCUCAUGUUUUGUCAUCAUGACAUCAUGUUACAUACUCAAAUGCAGAUGUUCUUUAUUUCAGGAAGUAUGUAGAAAAACCCAGUAACCUAGUAACAGAGCUAUUUUAUGUUUACAAACACAUCAACUGAGCGUUGA